GGUUAACGAACUCAACUAGGAUCUAUGAGGAUGCAGAUUUACCAGUAUUGAUAACUGGGACCGUCAGCCAAGCCAUCCACUACUGGAACUUGGUUUCCCCGGGUCUAGAAUUGUGUGUGGCUGAGUGGUACCACUGAAGAAGCUUUCACUGAUCAGUUUUUAUGCUUAGCCUGGGAGCAGCAAAAGUGAUACUCAAGCUGAAUUCCCCUCCAAGUGGAGAUGUUCCUUCUGGUCCAGUUGCCUAUGAAAAGGGGCAUAAUUCUGACUGUUUAGCUGUUAAGCAUCAUGAAAUUCACUUGCCUCCCACCCAACCUCCACCUUGGCCUUUAUGAAUAGUGAAGUCAGAAGGUGGCUGGAUCUGGAUUCAGCUGAUCAUGCCUGGGGCUGGAUGUUCACCAUGACUCAAAAGUCUGGCACCUCAGCUGAGAUGGCAAGCUUAGCUCUCUUUCUCCACGCGGCCCUUCUACAUAGCCAGGUAGGGCUUCCUUGUAUAAGAGGGAAAGGAGAUCUCCUGGUAGUUACACUUCUUACUUUGUGAUUGGCCUCCACCCGAAUGUGUUUCCAGAAAACAAGGAAGAUGCACUAAGGCUUCUUAUGACCUAGACAUGGAGGUCAUGAAGCAUCAUUUCUGCUGCAUUCUAUGGAGUUGGCGGGGCCACUCCAGAUUCAAUAUAGGGGGGACUAGGAAGGGUAUCAAUUCCAGGAGGCUUGAUGUAUGGACAUGGGGGCUUAACCAUGAACUCAUACUGGAAACAAAUGUUUGCUAUAAGAAACUUUAUUUAUUAGGGUGUUUAUUAGAGAGAAUUGUGUUUGUUCAUUUAAUUUUGUAAUUGCUUGUCGUCAGAAUCUGAAAUCUCCUCACCAAUCUUUUUUUUUUUUUCCCUUGGAUGUGCAUGUGCCUUGUGGAAGUUCUUGAGCUGGGAUUGAACCUGUGCAACAGCAGCGACCUGAGCCACGCAGUGAUAAUGCCAGAUCCUUAACUUACUAAGCCACCAGGAAACUCCAUCCUCACCAAUCUUAUGGGGAUUAAAUGAUGAUUAUUUAAUUCA
rnacentral:lncRNA from 1 species